CCCUUAGAUGUCCUGGGCUGCGCGCGCGCUACACUGAUGUGUCCAGUAAGCACCUAACCUCUUCCGAAAGGAACGGGUAACCUUUGCAAAGCACAUCGUGAUGGGGAUAGAUUAUUGCAAUUAUUAGUCUUGAACGAGGAAUUCCUAGUAAGCACAAGUCAUCAGCUUGUGUUGAUUACGUCCCUGCCCUUUGUACACACCGCCCGUCGCUCCUACCGAUUGAAUGGUCCGGUGAAGCCUCGGGAUUGUGGUUGGUUUCCUUUAUUGGAGAUUGAUUGCGAGAACUUGUCUAAACCUUAUCAUUUAGAGGAAGGUGAAGUCGUAACA
rnacentral:rRNA from 1 species